GACUCAUUAACUUUUACACCUGAAAGAGAUCAGAGAUCAUUUGAUGAAAUCUCCACAUUUUACAGAUGAGUAGCCAUUCUGUUUCUAAAGAUCUGUGUUUUAUUUUUCCAUUAUUUUAUGGAGUAUAGUUUCCAUCAAAAGACUGAUGAGUGGGAUGAAAAUCCACAACUGAAGUUGAAGAUAGACUAAGCGGUAAACAUGGUCAGUGCCACUUUGUGGAAGAGCAGCAAGAAUCAUCUUACUCGGGCAUUUAUUCCAUGUAACUCUAUUUCAGAACUCUAAACUGACUCCAAAUCAAGUUUAAUAAUGGUCCUUCAUUGAAGUCUGAACUUCAAACCAUGGACUUCAAGUGCCUCUGUCAAUCUAUUUCUCAACUUACUAAUUGUUCUCAUUUCUUAUUUGUAACUAAUCACUGACAGUGCAUAAAAUGUGGCUUGAGCAUGAAGAAAGAAACAUAUAUAGAGAUAAUAAUUUCCUCAAUUUAGUGAAACUUACAGUCUUUUUUCUUUACCAAAAAAUGGUCCGUUUGUAAUUAAUAUUAAUUACUUGAAACUGUAAUGAUCCUCAUCAACUUCAUGAAUCAGCUAUGUAUGUGCCUUAGAAGAAGUCUACUUCAUCUCCAACCAAAGUAUAAGCCUUAUUGGUCAAAAGGCAAUCUCAUUUUCCUUGUCAGCUCUUGGUUCAAAAAGAACAUGCAACCCAGUUUCCACCAAUAAGACUUGAUGACAAGUUUGCUGGGAUGGAGAGCAUCUUUAGAAAAAUUUUCCUCCUCACUAAGAGUGGAGCACAAAAAGUUAUAAUGUCUCUUCUUUUUCUAAACAUAGUCACAUAAGGGACCACUGCAACCACACCUUUACCAUCCUGAGGAAGAAAGAUGGCAGACCUGAGGACUGGAAAGAAAGCACAUUUGACAUCAAAUUUCUUAAACAACUUAGAAACCAAUUUUUCUCUAAAUUUCUGUCUCUAAAUGUUUUCUCUAAAUUAUGUGAGAUAAUACCUUUCUCUGUUAGGCAAGUCUCUAAAGUUUUUCUUUUCCUUGAAGCAGAGAUUAUCCUAAUACAAAUGGGGUAAGGAUUAUUUCAGCUGAAAAUACGGAAUUGUUUAGUUAGUGUUUUUCCAUGUACAUUGGCCCUCUCAAAAAUUAUUUCUUUAUAUGAAAAUACAUUUUGUUAAUAUCGUGUAUAUACUACAUAAUUCCAAGGAACAUAUAAUAUUUGUCUGUAUCCAUUUCACUGUACUGAGUCAUCUGACUGGGAACCUGGUGUUUGGCAAAAAUCCUAACACAAAAUAUAGGCUAUUCAAAGCUUCACUAUAUUACUGGGAGCGGAAACGGCUGUUUGUAAAGUUCUUUUGUGACAACAUUUUUGUGAUAUAUGAAAUAAAAACAAAUGGAUUGAAUUUCUCAUAAAUCAGUGUUUAAAGUAACCAAAAUAAUGAGAGAAAAUUGUUUUUUGCCAAAAAAGAUAUAUUUUAAGUAUCACUGAAGUCAUUUCCAGCUUCUCUUUUCUAAUCCCAAUAAAUUCACUACUGAAAAUUAUGAAAGGGUUGUACAUAGCUAAAACCAAGGUUACAAAUGUGUGUGAAAAAUCUUGGCAAGUCACGUUAAAAUACAGAAUGGCACCAUGGCCUGGGUGAAGAGCAAUACUUAUUCUCCUAAUUAAAUAUAAGCAAACCUCUGAUUUCUACCUGACUCACCAAUUUGGAAUGUAGCUUUUUUGAAAUGUUUGUACCAAAAGAAAGACUAAUUGUUUUAACUUUUAAAUGAUAAAGUAACAUGCCUUAUUUCUCUCCAGACACAUUCCACUGGAACAAUAGCUAGAGAUAAUCUGUUACUCUCAGGAUAUCCUCUCAGUGUAAAUUGGGAUUUUGCAGUUCAUAACCCAUAACCAAUAGUAUAAACAAGAUGAAAUAUAGCCAUUUGUAGAGAGAGUUGCCAAAAAGAUGUGUUUUCUGUUUUCUUCAUUAUGAUCAUUUAAAAUUUUUUCAUUAAAACUUUCUUGUACUUAUUUCUUUUCUUGAAGAUAUAUUUGAAAUAAUUCAUCCGUAGGAUUCUUAGGAUUUAAACAACAGCAAGAACAAACACAACAACUUUAUUUUUUAGUGUCAUUAAUUCAAAUAGGUUAGAUUUCACUUACCAAAUCAUUCAACUUUAAUUUUUAAGCACUUAACAUAAGACAAGUACUGUAUUCAAUGCAGAAAGCAUGAUAGUAAGAUAGACACUAAGCCUAUGUCUCUGCAUUUUUCAGUCUUUAAAAGGGCAGAAAAGUAAACAAACCGUAACACCAAAUGUAUUUAGAGCUACAAUACAGGAAGUGCAAAAUCUAGUAAAAUCACAGAGCAGGAGCAAUGAGCUAGUUUAUGAGGUCAAGGAAGAUUCCUAGAGGAAAUGAUAUUUAAUUCAUGUUUUCAAAUUUG
rnacentral:lncRNA from 1 species